rnacentral:rRNA from 1 species
UACGUAGGGUGCGAGCGUUGUCCGGAAUUAUUGGGCGUAAAGAGCUCGUAGGCGGUCUGUCGCGUCUGCUGUGAAAUCCCGAGGCUCAACCUCGGGCUUGCAGUGGGUACGGGCAGGCUAGAGUGCGGGUAGGGGAGAAUGGAACUCCCGGUGUAGCGGUGGAAUGCGCAGAUAUCAGGAAGAACACCGAUGGCGAAGGCAGUUCUCUGGGCCGUAACUGACGCUGAGGAGCGAAAGCGUGGGGAGCGAACAGG